rnacentral:rRNA from 1 species
UACGUAGGGGGCAAGCGUUGUCCGGAAUCAUUGGGCGUAAAGAGCGCGUAGGCGGCCCUGUAAGUCCGCUGUGAAAGUCAAGGGCUCAACCCUUGGAUGCCGGUGGAUACUGCAGGGCUAGAGUCCGGAAGAGGCGAGUGGAAUUCCUGGUGUAGCGGUGAAAUGCGCAGAUAUCAAGGAGGAACACCCGUGGCUAAGGCGGCUCUCUAGUACGGUACUGACGCUGAGACGCGAAAGCGUGGGGAGCGAACAGG